CAUAGGCUGUCACACCCUGUGCAGGACUCAGUCCCAGUCAGGACACAGCAUGGACAUGAGGGUCCCCGCUCAGCUCCUGGGGCUCCUGCUGCUCUGGCUCCUGGGUGUGCGAUGUGACAUCCAGGUGACCCAGUCUCCAUCCUCCCUGUCUGCCUCUUUAGGAGACACAGUCACCAUCACCUGCAGGACCAGUCAGAGCAUUAGUCCUCGGUUAGACUGGUAUCAGCAGAGAAAAGGUGAAAGCGCCAAACCCCUGAUCUAUAAGACAAACAGUUUACAACCUGGGGUCCCAUCCAGGUUCAGCGGCAGCGGACCUGGGGCAGAUUUCACUCUCACCAUCAGCAACCUGAAACUUGAAGACAUUGCAACUUACUACUGUAUGCAAUGUAAUAGUUUCCCUCCCACAGUGAUAGAAGCCAUAACAUAA